GUAAUCAACAGGGGAUAUUCUUUUAAACCUUGUUCUCUUGUUUCUUUUGGUGCUGUGGCACAGCUGUUUCUAUUUAUUUCAGACAGAUUAAUCUUAAUGUUACAAAUGCCUGCAUAGUUGAUGCCCUCAGCCAGGACCUUGCAGCUUGAGAGAUGUGUCCCCAGACCCCCCUAACCCAGCUGAGGAUGGAGGGAGCAGCCUGGUACACCCCAAGUACACUUCUCCUCCCAGUUAGGAAGACAUUAUUGCUGCCAGAGUACACGCUGUCCAUUCUUUAACCAGACAAGACUGGAUAAGAAAGGUAUAUGGAUGGUUUAUACAGGCAAGACAAGGGACAAAAAUACUGGUAGGUAACAGUGAAAGUUGUAACUAAAGAAAAGAGCUGUAGAGAGAAAAAAAAAUGCCAGUCUGCUUUAUCAAUUAAGAUCUCAAGCUGUUUCACCACUUCCUAGCCCAGGAAACUGGCUUCCUCCUCAGCCCCCCUCCUCCCCCCCCAACCAGGUGUGCACUGGGGCUGCCUAGUGCUGCUCCCCCAGGCAGGGAGGUGAGCCCCUGUUCCUGAUAGCCAGGAAUCUUAUGUUAAGGAUGUGGUGGUAAGAUGUCAUAAAUUGCAAUAAUUGAGGGGAACAAAGGCACUUUACUAUCACUUCAUUAGAAUUGCACUAUCCUUUCUAUGCUGAGCUUUUUUUUUUUAAAGACCAGAAAUGAUGUGACCAUUAGAUAAAGCAUCCAUCUCCAUGUAUCUGUACAGUUAAUUUAAGGGUGACACUCUUAGCCGGGUCCCAUCAGGAGGAAAAGGAUAAUACACUAUUAAAGUUGCAAUUACUGUAUUAGGCUCAAAAUGUAAAUCCAUAUACCAGCUGUUAUAAUCUAGCAAAGAAGGAGGGGGAAGUCUGGCAAAUAGUUCUUGUGGGCUUUUAUAUAGCUGCUCAUAACAGUGAAAUUAAAUGAAUACAUGUGUAUGUGUGUACAGCUAGAUUUAUAGACUCUCUUUAAAAUGUAAGCACUUCAGGUCCCGCUGAAGUAGCAGAAAACAAGCUGGGAUUGUUCCACCUGCAUAACUGGCCUUCAGCUUCCCAGUGUUCAGAUAUACUUUGCAAUGCCAGAGGGACUCACCUACUCCUCAACCUCAACUGUUUCUUGGGGCAGGUGUGGGAAUUCAGAGGGUUGACCUUUGGAGCACUGUGAAGCAGAGAGGAAGCUAAUGCUGCAAAGAGUGUUUCCUUUGGCAAGUGCUACCCCCUUCCCUGUGCCAGGACCCCUCUGUGAACCAAAGCCUUCAGGGCACCAGUACUGGCUGCAGCACAAAGCCAUGUUUAGUAGCUGUGAUUUUUUUUUUCUUAUGUAUUUUCUCUCCUUUAGAUAUUCUUGGCUAGAUCUCUAGCAACCUACUGUAGCUUUGCUACAGCUUUGCUUUGCUUGCUUCAGCAGAGAUUUGUCAAUUUGGAGUAGCUGAGGGCAUAACCUUCACUCCAGAGAGAUGAAAUGCCUUGUUCAGACACCAGUACCUUAAUGGAGCUGGGAACAGCACAUACGUGGAAUGUUCACAGUAAGAGCUUCUCUUCAUGUGCCACCUGCUACCAGAACGGUCUGGAUAUCUGCAGGAGGUGCCCUUCAGUAGCUGAAAUGGCACAGCUGCUUUUUCAGUGUUGCAGAAGCCUGUUGUUUAUUGCAGCGGCACAUUUUGUACUAAUCAUCUCCUUGCGGAGAUGCCAGUGGAAGUGAUUGAGACAAAGGGGCGUAGCAUCAUCUUGAUGCUGAAGAGCUUUCAGAGGAGUAUCUCCAGGAAGUGGCAGGUGGCACCACUCAGGAGAUGACUUUGAUGGCCCCACGUCCUCUCUGUUUCAUUACCCAGGCAGGAGGAGGGACAGGAUAUAUUAUGGAGCUAAAUUCUCACGGGCAAAUAAUAAGUCCUAGCACCUGCUGGCUGGAACCCACAGGCUGUGACCUUCUGUCUCCACCAAUGUUUGUAUUUUCCUCUGCGGGAAAGAGCAACAUGGUAAAGAAUUCCUAUUAUUUCAAAUAUUUCACCAUGGUGUUAUCUAGCCUAGUCUAAACAAUGGUCCCGAUUGCUCUUGAGAGUUGUACUCUGCAGGAGAAAACGGUAACAAAUGUUAUUCCCAGUGUGUUCCCCCCCACCACGGGGACACAGAUAUUUGUGACAUGGAAUGGCAGUGUGCUCCUGGAAGCAUCAAUCCAGAUACAUGUUAGCUGAAAAAAGAGGAAAAAAUUGCCUCCCUUGCCAAAUUCCAAACUGAUCCACCCAGAAGAAGAUCCAUGCUGUGAUGCUUCUGUCCUGGACGUGCCAUUUGUUAAUGCAGGAAGUGGAUCACAUCCCAGGCUCUGGGAAUGUGCAGAAUGUGUCACUUGCCCCAUUGCCUUACAAACGAUAAAUCUCUAAAACCUCACUAAAAGCUGUAAUACUGCAAAAGCUGCAGCCAUGGCAAUUAUUUGCCUUCAUGUUCACUGACCCACUGAAGGAACCAGGCUGUGAACACCCUGACUCUAGUGGGAAAUGCCUGGACAGCCAGACCUGACCCAAAUGUCCAAACACAGCCAAACUUCAGCCUGAAUACACAUAACACAGUUAAUCCCGACUUAAUUUAUGGCAGCCUGAACCUGAAUGUGAACUCACCCACUGUGUUACCAGAGAUCCGAACCUGGAUUUGGCUCCCAAAUAGCUUGGGUCUAGGUCUUGAAAUUACCCAGUUGUUGGCUGCAGUCUGCUUUGGAGCUGGAGAUUUAUUUCUCCAGGAGGCAGGAAAACACAUUGUGUUGCCAAACUACUUCCAGUCUUUUCCAGAAUUACAAGUCAGGGGAUGGUGGGUAAGUCUUGUGAUUUUCAUCCUACAAUCUAAACCAGAUGGACUACUCUCGCAGCAUAAAUAUUUAAGCAAAGAAAAGCAAAAAAAAAAAAAAAAAAAAAAAAGUUCAGUUUCUUAAUUAAUUGCAUUAUUAUGACUUGCACUAUUUAACAGAAUGCGCAUAAAGCUGGUUUACAAGAUAGCUUGAUCACCUUCUUUGAUUCAUCUCAAUAAAAUCUGGAGUUUUUGUUUUCUCGGGGAUAAUGAAGUAACUGUAGAAUAAUAAAGUGGCUCUGCUUAUUGGAAACAGAAAGCUCUCAGCUUUCGGAAGAAAAGAUCCUCUCGGUGAAGCUCGUGCUGUAUUAAUCCAAAAAUACAAAUAAGUGGAGGUGAUCUGGAAAGCCCGUGUUACGAACAUCAGCCCAGCAUUUCUGCCACUGAAGAUCCUCUUCUCCGGCCUCAACUCAAAAAAUCUUUGUGGCAGAUUUGGCAUUGCCUGUAAUAAUUUAUGAACGUGAUGUGUUGACAUGUUUACUGUGUGCAUACAUUGAGCUACUUCAAUCGCUGCCUUGUCAGGAAGUGUACCCAGGAGAGAACAGAUGAAUCCAGGCACGCGGUUUGGAGGAAACACUGGGGAGCUGAAGCAAGCGCCCUUUGCUGUGACAUUUUGGCUGGGCCCCUGCUGGGCUCACAGGAGAGAUUUCCCUGGGAGAACAUGGGUGCCUGUGAAGGAAGGCACAGAAGGCCCUGGGGGAUUCACAGUGAACCAUUUAAAUGGAGGCUUUGGAGAGUGAGAACCCGAAAGGGGCUGAAAGCGCUCAGAUCUGCAGGUACCUAAUUCAGUACAUGUUGGCGAUAAAGGGGAUGUGGAACAUUUGUUUAACCGCCGUGCCUUAUUUCAGUGGUGAAAUGGCUCUUCUGUUUUAUAAACAUGGUUUAGGUUGCACAAGAGAGCUGGAUGCCUCUGUUCCCAGGUCCAUUUGGGAAUCAUGGUGAUUGUGCUGGGUAGGCUGGCUGGAGUUUGGCAAAGCUACCUCAGCCUGCCUGCAGGAAGGUGAGAGCUUGAGGCCUGGCGGCCUUCCCCAGACGGGAAGGCAGAAAGGCCACUGAUAGCUGAGAUCCAGCAGUAACCAUAACAAUACCAUCAUCUUUCUUAAAAGUCCCAGCACGUAAUUCUACUAAUGACUUUUAUUAAACAUUUAAGCCUUAGCCUUCAAGUGAUUCAUAUUUGUUACAAAACACCAUCCCAUUAACACAAAGUACAAGCCGAAACAAAGUUAAUGAGCCCUAAUGCUUGCCGGAUAAUACGAAGUUUGAGUGAUACUAACAAAAAUAAAAUUAGGAAGAAAUCUACUUUCAUUGUCCACCAGAGAAUUUGAGUUUUAUCCUUCUGGUUCAUAAAAACAAGUCCAUUGCUCAAGUGGCUAUUACGCUCUUAUUAAAGUUGUUCCAGAACACAUAGAUGUGCGUAAUUAAGUGCCCCUCUGUUACAAGAGGGCCUGCCUGACAGUCUACAGGGAAUGCAAGGGGCCUUUAUUCAUGACAUCAAAGAGAAUGGCAUUACCCUCAUACUUCACUAUGUUGGCUGGGGUUGGUCCCACAUGGUGCAGUGCCCAGGACACAGCACUGUCAGCUGGAGCUGGGCUCUGGGGACCUGGAGGCAACAGGAGUGUGGCCUGAAAUGUACAUUAAUAUUUGUCUUAUGGAAAUCUUCAACAGAACUUAGCUCAGGCAUCCAAAGCACUGAGGAACUACAAAAAGUCAUUACAAAAUGUCAGGAAGUGUAGACUGAGAUAUUUUUAAUUGUCUGUUUUGGCAGUCGGAUACUAACGGCAAAUGGGGAAAUGGAGUAAAAAUCACUGAUAUCUCCCUACCCUUGAAAGUACGUGAUGUUGCUCAAAGCUCUGCCAGUUUUAUCUGUGUGUCCCAGUGAAGAGACUAAACACAAGAAACAGAAAGGGACAGCAGUAAAGCUGUAAAGUGCCAUUUUGGAAGGGAUGAGCAAGCACUGUAUAGUG
ensembl:lncRNA